rnacentral:tRNA from 1 species
CUGCCCGUAGCAUAAUUGGAUAAUGCAUCGGAUUCCGAUUCCGAAGAUUACAGGUUCAAAUCCUGCCGGGCAGACCA